AACGAACGCUGGCGGCGUGCCUAACACAUGCAAGUCGAGCGCGAAAAGGGCAACCUGAGUAGAGCGGCGCACGGGUGCGUAACACGUGGGUAAUCUGCCUUAGAGUCGAGGAUAACCUUCCGAAAGGUUGGCUAAUACUCGGUAAGCUUACGGUGUCUUCGGACGCUGUGGGAAAAGUAGGCCUCUGUUUACAAGCUUACGCUCUGAGUUGAGCCCGCGGCCCAUCAGCUAGUUGGCGGUGUAACGGACCACCAAGGCAACGACGGGUAGCUGGGCUGAGAGGACGAUCAGCCACACUGGAACUGAGACACGGUCCAGACUCCUACGGGAGGCAGCAGUGGGGAAUUUUCCACAAUGGGCGAAAGCCUGAUGGAGCAACGCCGCGUGUGUGAUGAAGGUUUUCGGAUCGUAAAGCACUUUCGACUGGGACGAAAAACCUUUGGCUAACAUCCAGGGGCCUGACGGUACCAGGAGAAGAAGCACCGGCUAACUCUGUGCCAGCAGCCGCCGUAAUAC
rnacentral:rRNA from 1 species